rnacentral:rRNA from 1 species
CUACGGGUCGCUGCAGUGAGGAAUUUUGCGCAAUGGGGGGAACCCUGACGCAGCAACGCCGCGUGAGUGAUGAAGGCUUUCGGGUCGUAAAGCUCUGUCAAGUGGGAAGAACCUAUGCAGUGUUAAUAUCACUGUAUACUGACGGUACCACUGAAGGAAGCACCGGCUAACUCCGUGCCAGCAGCCGCGGUAAUACGGGGGGUGCAAGCGUUAUUCGGAAUCAUUGGGCGUAAAGGGCACGUAGGCGGCUUGGUAAGUCAGAUGUGAAAGCCCGGGGCUUAACCCCGGAAGUGCAUUGGAUAAUGUCAGGCUUGAGUAUGGGAGAGGGGAGUGGAAUUCCUGGUGUAGAGGUGAAAUUCGUAGAUAUCAGGAGGAACACCGGUGGCGAAGGCGACUUCCUGGACCAAUACUGACGCUGAGGUGCGAAGGCGUGGGUAGCAAACAGGAUUAGAUACCCGGGUAGUC